GCAAGGAUUGCUGGUUUCUCGAGGCUAGCUGAUUAAGCUCUUUCGGAUAGUUGAGAUCCAUAGAGAACUGCUCUAGAACAGGAUAAAUGCACGACCAAACACUAUAUGUCUUAUGUAAUAUAUAUAGAUUAUAGUACCUGCCUAAUAUUCAUGGGGACUAGCGAUUAAUGCACGAUAUACAUAGUAUGGUUUAUGUAAUAUAUAUAGAUUAUAGUACCUGCCUAAUAUUCAUGGGGGCUAGCGAUUAAUGCACGAUAUACAUAGUAUGAUUUUUGUAAAAUAUAUAGAUA